rnacentral:rRNA from 1 species
AGUGAACGCUGGCGGUAGGCCUAACACAUGCAAGUCGAAUGGCAGCACAGUAAGAGCUUGCUCUUACGGGUGGCGAGUGGCGGACGGGUGAGGAAUACAUCGGAAUCUACUUUUUCGUGGGGGAUAACGUAGGGAAACUUACGCUAAUACCGCAUACGACCUACGGGUGAAAGCAGGGGAUCUUCGGACCUUGCGCGAUUGAAUGAGCCGAUGUCGGAUUAGCUAGUUGGCGGGGUAAAGGCCCACCAAGGCGACGAUCCGUAGCUGGUCUGAGAGGAUGAUCAGCCACACUGGAACUGAGACACGGUCCAGACUCCUACGGGAGGCAGCAGUGGGGAAUAUUGGACAAUGGGCGCAAGCCUGAUCCAGCUAUACCGCGUGGGUGAAGAAGGCCUUCGGGUUGUAAAGCCCUUUUGUUGGGAAAGAAAAGCAGCAGGUUAAUACCCCGCUGUUCUGACGGUACCCAAAGAAUAAGCACCGGCUAACUUCGUG